rnacentral:lncRNA from 1 species
AAUUCCUUCUUAUGAAUCCCGAAAAUACCCCAAUCCUUUGUUCUAUAUAAGAACCCAUUUGGGUCACUGUUAAGGAGGUCAAAAAUUCUGGGGUUCUUUGGAGGCUGGAAAUUCUAGGGUUUGGAAAUUGAUUGAGAAAACUAUGUUGAGAAAAUUUCUUUUGGUUCAAAAAGAGGGGGUCGAGGAAUCUUCUUGGAGAAAAGAAACAAAAAUUAGAGAGAGAGGAGAGAGAAAAUUUUUGAGAAAAUUCAGUCUCGAGUAGAAAUUUUAUUCUUGUUCAUCAGCUAAAUUAGAGUUUCAAUUGACUGUGAAGAAGUUUCCUGGUGGUUGUGAUAUCCGUACCAGUUCGUUGUCCCGUUUUGCUACCCAAAGGCCGGUUAGUUUUUGAUUUCUUUUUAUUAUACUGUCGUGAUAGUGUUUAGUCAUGAUAGGGUUUUGAUUCUUGCAUUUGUUUGCAGGGAUGGCUGUGAAAGUCGUGUGAUUAGCUUGUUACAGGUUGUCGUUCUGUUGAACCGAUAAUUGUGUUGAGGUUUAAUUUGAUUGCUUUCGAACAAUUUCACUAUUUUUGUGUUAAUAGUGUCAUAAUCGCUUAAUCGUAAUCGUGUGAGAAUUGUUUGCUGCCAAAGAUGGACUUAGUAUAUUAGAUUCUGAUGGUCAGAGUAGUUGUUUUGUUAGUUUCUGG